GCGAUCUCGCCAGUUUCGUUUCAACCCGUUUCCAAGACGGACGCGAUCUUACCGUCGUUGCUUCACGCGAAUCACCUUCCCGUAACGGACAAGGAAAACCACUUCAUCCCGCCAAGUUGCAGUCUUCCUUGUACGAUAAUCACUACUGUCUGAGAGGACCAACGGCUGGUAGAAAACCAGCAGACAAUAGACCGCGCUCGGUGGGAAAAACAAGCUUCAAGUUCAGUCAGACAUAUUUUCCCACCGCGAGAUUGGGCAGACGAAACGAAAGCAACCAUGAGCAGCAAAUCGGUGAUCGUGUUCUGCGCCGUGGCGUUGCUGGCGUUGACCAGCGUUGCUGCCAAAGAGAAGCAUAUCAAGUACAAGGAGAAGGACCUGAUGCGAAAGUCGAUCGUGUACGACAAAAAUACACCGGACGUGUUUUACUGCCCGAUGAACAAGCCCACCGGAAUGGACAAGAUGAUUGUGAGGUCUCGUCCACUCCACAAGCUGUGUGAAUUUGAGGGUAAGCCCCUGCCACCGGACUACAAAUCGGACUGCUAUAAGGAUUUGGACGAGAGUGACUACGCCUGCAAAGAGAAAUACCGAAUCAUGAAACGUUACGCCAAAGAUAAUACCGAGAUCUAAUACUCAAAUCGCAUUUAUCUUGCCUAAAUAAUGAAUACAAACAAUCACACUCGCCACACUGUACACCACAUCAACCGCCACGCCAUGAAGAGCACACGCGAACUAUCGCGAAAUCUUAAAACUGUUAUUUCCAUUUCUUUCAAUAAUUCUCUGUCAAGACUGAAACUGACUGUCGACUAGAAAUCUGUUCUCCCUACUCGAAUCUAACUUCUAAGUCCUUUUCUUUGUGAUUUCAGUUCCUUUCUUCCAUAACGCCGUUCAUUAAUGCCAAAAAGGCUUAAUUAAUCGAUGCUUUAAUAUCGGAAACUCAAUUAAACAAAUAAUAACCAACCAUGGUUCCAAUAGCCGGUUACCGAAUAUAACCAGAAUGAUUGAAGCAAUUGUAAUACUUCCUGAAUACCAGUCGCAAUUUAUUAAACAUAUUAGAAAACCAUAGCUUUACAUAUUCAACAAUGCAAGAAUGGAUGAAUUCAUUAGAAUUUAUCCAAAUUCAAGCUUUGCUAAGAUAUGUUUUUUUUUCUGUUGUGACGGUUGAAUCCUCGGUAUGACCAACUGUGUUCGUACAGAGGUUUUGACAGUUCACAAAAUAUUGUUAGUGCUCCCGUAAACAAUAAAAUAACUAUCCUUAAACACAUAACAACUUACAUGGCAUAACAUUUAAUCUCAUUUUCUUUUAAAAAAAAUCCAACUUCUUAUAAGUACAAAUCAAAGAUAACACAUUGCGAAGAUAUGAUUUCACUUCAAUAACUUUAAAUUUGUACAAAAGCAUUAGUCCUCUAAAUAUAACGUCUUUUAAAAUAAUAUUAUUCAACGACUACUAUGCAAAACAUCAACAAGACAAUGUUUACCACCGUGGCAGUGUUGCCAACAAUUGAGCCGAAAAUUUUACACAUUUAACAUAAUUUACCUGGUGUUUUCGGGACGAUAACAUUAAUACUAAUAUUUAUAAUUCUCCCUUGAUUAUUUCUUUCUGAGAAAUGGAUUACUAAAAUGCUAACAGGUCCGCAUUGGAAAACAAAAAACUAUCAUCAAAUAAUUACACAAACAAAUGACACUCUCCAACAGCUAAAGACUACCACGACGCAAGACGUCAUUUACUUUGUACAGUACGAUAAGACCAUCUGACUAAAACCCAAUUUACCGCAUUAUCUGUAAACACAAACACACCCAAACGCAAGCACGAAGCAUUCAUUUCGAACAUGGGAUCGCAAUUAGCAGCAGAUGCGCAUGCACCCGCCCGGCAGUGAUGCACCCUUCAACGGAUCCCGGCUGAGUCGGUUCAUGGAUAUGGACGACGACAUGAAGCGAGUGAAGAACAGGAAGCAGAACUAGGAAGUUGGGCGGAAGCAGAACUAGGAAGUUGAAUGAAAAAUUGAAAAAAUGAGUCAUUAGAUUUACUGAACCACUUUAGGAAACAAUAGGAAUGAUCAUCAUCGAAAUCAUUGUAAAUAAUCCAACUGCCAUAAAUAGGAACUGAACGACUGACGUACCCGCACGAUCGUUUGACAUGUGAUAAGAAAAAAAUCAAUUUCGACCAAACAGGACAUUUUCCAAGACAAGAUAAAAAAUACUUCCAGCACAGGUAUACGAAAUUAGACACUUAGGGAAGAGAUAAUCAAUUAAUAGAAUUGUGCUAAUUAACUACAAAAAGAAAGACGUCCCAAGACAAACCAGGUGUUAAUUUAGAACAAACAUACACAACCGAUAAAAAAUGUAUCCUAAUUAUUAACGUAA